rnacentral:pre_miRNA from 1 species
CCUUGAGAGUGCGAUUUGUUGCCACGUCAGCAAAGCACUCUGACGUGGCCGUGAUUUGAUGACGCGGCGCGUCCCUGGGGACACGAUUUAGACCACACGUGAAUAGUACAACGGUCAAAAAUUUGACCGUUGCCCCCCCAACGGUAAAAAAAAAAAUCCUAUAAAUACCCCCACCCCUUUUUUUUUCACAAACAAAUCCUGUCUCAAAUUUCCUUUCAAUUUCCUCUCAAUUUCCUUUCAAAUUUCUCUCAAAUUCAUAUUUAAUCUCAAUUAGCUCUCAAUAUCCUUUUAAAUUUCUCUUAAAUCCCUAUUUUCAAAUAAUUUUAAAAAAUUUUGAUUUUUUGAUGAUGUGGCAACAAAGCGCUGCCUUGAGA